UCAGGGAGGAUCUUUGAGGGAUGUUGGGAAAGACCAGCUGGGCUUUGAACGUAUCCAGGCAAGGAGAGAAUGAACAUAAAGGCCACAGCUGGGCAGCCAUCAAAACCAUUCAACUCCAAAUGCUGGGACAAAGGAGAUAAUUUACAGACACUCCACCACAAGGCAUUCCUCUGGCCUGAACCCAUUGAGCUCUGCAAUUAUUAACUUCUUGGCAAGGUUGUGUCACCGCCCUCACUCUAGCGCAGUGCUCUGAGAUGAGGCACCUCCCCGCCAUCUGCUAGAAAUUUUACUUCAGGGUGCAGCUGCCUAUUAAAAGUCUCCUUUGCUUUUUAGUCACUGGAGCGAAGGGGGAAACAUCUUCCAAGCUGGAUGAACCACCUCUCCCAGGGGUUAGGAGCAGGGAUACUGAGUCGGUGUGUGCGGAACUAGACAGUCAUCAAGAGCUGGAUUUUGAGUCACUGCCAAGGACAGAAACCCAGUCUAAAGAGCCCAUCUCUGAAAGAGAUAGAGCCAAGGCCGCAUGCAGAGA